rnacentral:tRNA from 1 species
AGGAUAAUAGUAUAUAAUACAUUUAAAUUGCAAUUAAAAAAUAUUGAUUAUCAAUCAAUUUAUCUUA